GCUGGCGUAGCUCAGUUGGUAGAGCGGCUGUUUUGUAAACAGCGGGUCGGGGGUUCAAUUCCCUUCGCCAGCUCCA
rnacentral:tRNA from 1 species